rnacentral:rRNA from 1 species
CAAUAGCGUAUAUUAAAGUUGUUGCGGUUAAAAAGCUCGUAGUUGGAUUUCUGCUGAGAACGACCGGUCCGCCCUUUGGGUGUGUAUCUGGCUCUUUCUUGGCAUCUUCUUGGUGAACGUUGCUGCACUUGACUGUGUGGAGCGCUACCCAGGACUUUUACUUUGAGGAAAUUAGAGUGUUUGCGGCAGGCAAUCGCCUUGAAUACAUUAGCAUGGAAUAAUACUAUAGGACCUUGGUUCUAUUUUGUUGGUUUCUAGAACUAAGGUAAUGAUUAAUAGGGAUAAUUGGGGGCAUUCGUAUUAACACGUCAGAGGUGAAAUUCUUGGAUUGUGUUACGACGAACUACUGCGAAAGCAUUUGCCAAGGAUGUUUUCAUUGA